UUCUGUUUUGUUGGCUUUCUGACACCAGAGGUAAUGAUUAAUAGGGACAACUGGGGGCAUUCGUAUUGCGACGUUAGAGGUGAAAUUCUUGGAUCGUCGCAAGACGGACUAAAGCGAAAGCAUUUGCCAAAGGUGUUUUCAUUAAUCAAGAACGAAAGUUAGAGGUUCGAAGGCGAUUAGAUACCGCUGUAGUUCUAACCAUAAAUGAUGCCAGCCAGCGAUCCGCCGAAGUUUCUUAUUUUGAUUCGGUGGGCAGCUCCCGGGAAACCAAAGCUUUCGGGCUCCGGGGGGAGUAUGGUUGCAAAGCUGAAACUUAAAGGAUG
rnacentral:rRNA from 1 species